GAGAGGACCGGGAUGGACAUACCUCUGGUGUACCAGUUGUCGUGCCAACGGCAUAGCUGGGUAGCUAUGUAUGGACGGGAUAAGUGCUGAAAGCAUCUGAGCAUGAAGCCCCCCUCGAGAUGAGAUUUCCCAACUUCGGUUAUAAGAUCCCUCAAAGAUGAUGAGGUGAAUAGGUUCGAGGUGGAAGCGUAGCGAUACGUGGAGCUGACGAAUACUAAUCGAUCGAAGACUUAAUCAACAU
rnacentral:rRNA from 1 species